rnacentral:rRNA from 1 species
CCUACGGGGUGCAGCAGUGGGGAAUAUUGGGCAAUGGGCGCAAGCCUGACCCAGCAACGCCGCGUGAAGGAAGACGGCUUUCGGGUUGUAAACUUCUUUUAAGAGGGAAGAGCAGAAGACGGUACCUCUUGAAUAAGCAACGGCUAACUACGUGCCAGCAGCCGCGGUAAUACGUAGGUGGCAAGCGUUGUCCGGAUUUACUGGGUGUAAAGGGCGUGUAGCCGGGCUGACAAGUCAGAUGUGAAAUCUCGUGGCUCAACCACGGAACUGCAUUUAAUACUGUCGGUCUUGAGUAUCGGUGAGGCAGGCGGAAUGCCUGGUGUAGCGGUGAAAUGCGUAGAGAUUAGGAGGAACACCAGUGGCGAAGGCGGCCUGCUGAACGACAACUGACGGUGAGGCGCGAAAGCGUGGGGAGCAAACAGGAUUAGAUACCCUAGUAGUC